rnacentral:lncRNA from 1 species
CUUCUUCUUCUUGUCCUCCUCCUUAUUCUUCUUCUUCUUAUUAUUAUUCUUCUUCUUCUUCUCCUUCUCCUUCUUCUUCUUCUCCUUCUUCUUCUCCUCCUUCUUCUUCUUCUCCUUCUUCUUCUUCUCAUUCUUCUUCUUCUUCUUAUUCUUCUUCCCCUUCUUGUUCUUCUUAGCUGAUUAUCCUCCAAAAUGACAUAAUUAGGUUAUGUAGUUCAUUUAUGACAUAAUUAUCUUAGUUAGGACAAAAAUGGCAUAAUAACCUUGGUUAGCUCAUAAAUGUUAUAUACUUAGCUUGUUUUCCUCUAAAAUGACAUAAUUAGCUUAGUUAGGUCAAAAAUAGCAUGAUAACCUUGG